rnacentral:lncRNA from 1 species
AUUAUCUAUUUACAAUUAAAUAAACAAAGUGCUAUGACUCGACCUCUAACAGCGGAGUGACUUGGAAUGAAAUGCUACGACAUGCCUUUACCUAUCUGCGGUAGACUAUAAGUGCCGAUGAUUGCACGCUAGGCCGAUCACUAUUUAUAAAAGGGAAAUGAAAAGGUGAGUCCCACAGACUCAGUGAUCAUCAGCUCUGUGAGCAAGGAGUAGAUGGGAAACAAGCAAUAAGCAGAUCAUUUGAAUGAUAAAAUCAGAGUAUGAAAUACUAAUCUUAUAAACCAAAUCACAAUAAGGAUAUUUGUGCAUUGUAAAAAUAAUAUUGUAAAAUCAUAAUACAAUGCUUUCUUCAGCAAAACAGUGCCAAAAAUAAGUGUAACAGAAAGAGUUUCAAUAAUUAAAAACAUCAUUGUCAUCAAAAUAUAAAAUACAGUACAAAGGUAAGCACGCUCCCAAAAUGUGUGGCAUGUAAAGAAAGCAAAGUGUAUGGCCACCUAAAUCAACUCAUGGUUGUCAAGUAAGCACUGAAAGCUUUUAAUUAAAAAAUGGGAGCUGGAGAGAAAAUCUUAACUCUCCACCAUGUAAAAGAGUACGUGUUGAAAACUCACAAGGCUUUUGAGUAGGAAAGUAUAAUAUCAACACGUGGACCCAUUUUCACGUAAUAACAAUCCGAGAGUCUUACUCCACCGGAUUCCCAUAGACAUGGCAAUCUCCAUGAUGUUGUCUGACAUCGGAGAAUCAAGCGGUCACUACCACGCACAUUCGGGAGUCUCACUCUACCGGAUCACUUGUGGCUUAGCCAUAUAUACAUAUCAUAGGUCGUGGCCCCUGUCACGCCUAACCGCCAGUCAGUGACCUAAAGGUUUUCUAGAUAGAGCUCAUUCGUGCAUGAAGGUCACAAUUAACCGAAGUGAUAGUCGGUCUACUUUUGACGCACUUGGUUUGUCAAAAGCAUCUUCAAAAAUCAAAUCGAGGUUUCCAAGUCUUUUGCUUCAAACCAUUUGAAACCAAGGUUCAAUAACCUUUCAAAUGACUUUUCACAUAAAAAAGGCAUGGUGUAUUCUCUUAUACAAAGAUCGGAUUAAAACCGGUGCUCAAAACUUGCAUUUUAAAUCAUUUAACUAUUUCAUUUAAACUAUGCAUAUCACCCACAAAUACAAGGCACAGAUUUUGAAUGCAAACAGUAUAAAAGGCUUGUUUCCCAAUUUCUAAAACACUUUACGUAUAUAACUAAUCUAUGGAUAUAUCCAAAACAAUUUUCAAAACAACUUGCAUCCAUAAUUUCCUACGAGUUCUACCAGCUCAUGCUUUCCACAAUAACAGUGUAUAAAUCAUUAUAAAUCCAUUUAGAAAUCGCCUAUUGAGGCUAACAGCUCAUGCUUUCCACAAUUGCAUUUAAUGAAAUCUAGCAACGUUUAUAAAACAUAUAACAUUAUACAGCUAUGGAAAUUUUUGAAAUAGGCACCCCUUACUCACCUUACAAUAGCGGGACGUUUCGUCGCUAUUGAUUCAGGUGCGUAUCUUGCUAUUUCUACUUGCCGGUCACACGCUACUUCACCUGGCAUGCCACCACGGUAAACUUUUCUACUUAUAUACUUCCUAGCAACAAUCCCAAUUCAAUAAUCUUAGUGUUUAUCAUUCCCAUUUUCCUCCUUAUUCAAACAUUACCAUCAUGUUAAUAACUCAUACUAUGCUACAAUCACCACUUUUCCUCACUUAACGUUGCAUAUUCAUAUCCAUCUCGACACAUUUUUACCAAAGUUUUCUUUAUCCUUUGCUUGCUUAAUUCUUUAAAUUAUAAUUAUCGGUAACUUAUUUAUGACUUUAGCACCCAUAUUAACCUUUUCCAGCCAUUUCAUUCAAAUUCGUUUUAUUUUUUCACACAUAACCCACAUAUAUGGCAACAACAAUCAUUAUCACUUUCACUCAAUUGUUUCCAAGUUUACAUGCAUCAUUAUCUAUCUAACUUUCAAUACUUUGUUUCUCAAUCCUCCAUCCACAAUAUUCGUUUUUCAUUUCUUUCAAACAACAUGCCAUACAAACUUAACAAUUUUCAACUAACUUACGCAAAUAGAUCCUUUCAACAACCAUAAUUCCUCACAAUAUUCAACUAACCGUAGGCUUUAAAACAUAGUGUUAAGCUUACCGUUUUCUUUUUCCAUUUUGAGUCCAUCAUGUACCCAUGGGUUUGUUGCCUUGUAUGUCACGACCCGGUACUCUCCUCGAGUUCGUAACAACCG